UACGUAGGGUGCGAGCGUUGUCCGGAAUUAUUGGGCGUAAAGGGCUCGUAGGCGGCUUGUUGCGUCGACUGUGAAAACCCGCGGCUUAACCCCGGGUCUGCAGUCGAUACGGGCAGGCUAGAGUGUGGUAGGGGAGAUCGGAAUUCCUGGUGUAGCGGUGAAAUGCGCAGAUAUCAGGAGGAACACCGGUGGCGAAGGCGGAUCUCUGGGCCAUUACUGACGCUGAGGAGCGAAAGCGUGGGGAGCGAACAGG
rnacentral:rRNA from 1 species